rnacentral:rRNA from 1 species
GACAGAGGGUGCAAACGUUGUUCGGAAUUACUGGGCGUAAAGCGCGUGUAGGCGGCUCGGAAAGUCGGAUGUGAAAGCCCAGGGCUCAACCCUGGAAGUGCACUCGAAACUCCCGAGCUGGAGUCCCGGAGAGGAAGGCGGAAUUCUCGGUGUAGAGGUGAAAUUCGUAGAUAUUCGGAAGAACACCAGUGGCGAAGGCGACUUACUGGACACAUAUCGACGCUGAGGUGCGAAAGCGUGGGGAGCAAACAGG